AUAUUCUACCUGGCAGGGGAGACACCAUGAACAAGAAGGUGGUUCACCCAGGGCGAGGCUCGGCCAUUGCACUCCGGCCGUGCUGACCCCUGCAAACUCCCCAAAUGUGGGCCGACAGGCAUGGGGGGUAUUCCCCAU
ensembl:snRNA U1 U1 spliceosomal RNA